AACGAACGCUGGCGGUAUGCCUAAUACAUGCAAGUCGUACGAGAAAGCUCUUUCGGGAGUGAUUAAAGUGGCGCACGGGUGAGUAACGCGUAGGUGACCUACCUCGAAGUGUGGGAUAACAGGGAGAAGUUCCUGCUAAUACCGCAUAAGCUGAACAACUUUGGAAGGAGUUCAGGAAAGAUAGCCUCUAUACUAUGCUAUCACUUUGAGAAGGGCCUGCGAGUCAUUAGCUUGAUGGUGAGGUAACGGCUCACCAUGGCGAUGAUGGCUAGCCGGUCUGAGAGGAUGAUCGGCCACACUGGAACUGAGACACGGUCCAG
rnacentral:rRNA from 1 species